AAGUCGUAACAAGGUUUCCGUAGGUGAACCUGCGGAAGGAUCAUUAACGAGUUCAGAAAAGGGUUGUAGCUGGCCUCAAAUCCGGGGCAUGUGCACACCCUGCUCAUCCACUCUCACACCUGUGCACUUUCUGUAGGUCGGUUCGGGAUCCCUGGUCCCUCGCGGGGUCGGGUUCUGUGCCUUCCUAUGUACAAUCACAAACGCUUCAGUAUUCAGAAUGUCAUUGCGAUAAUUAAAACGCAUCUUAUACAACUUUCAGCAACGGAUCUCUUGGCUCUC
rnacentral:misc_RNA from 1 species